GACGAACGCUGGCGGCGUGCCUAAUACAUGCAAGUAGAACGCUGAAGAGAGGAGCUUGCUCUUCUUGGAUGAGUUGCGAACGGGUGAGUAACGCGUAGGUAACCUGCCUUGUAGCGGGGGAUAACUAUUGGAAACGAUAGCUAAUACCGCAUAACAAUGGAUGACACAUGUCAUUUAUUUGAAAGGGGCAAUUGCUCCACUACAAGAUGGACCUGCGUUGUAUUAGCUAGUAGGUGAGGUAAUGGCUCACCUAGGCGACGAUACAUAGCCGACCUGAGAGGGUGAUCGGCCACACUGGGACUGAGACACGGCCCAGACUCCUACGGGAGGCAGCAGUAGGGAAUCUUCGGCAAUGGGGGCAACCCUGACCGAGCAACGCCGCGUGAGUGAAGAAGGUUUUCGGAUCGUAAAGCUCUGUUGUAAGUCAAGAACGGGUGUGAGAGUGGAAAGUUCACACUGUGACGGUAGCUUACAAGAAAGGGACGGCUAACUACGUG
rnacentral:rRNA from 1 species